AAGUCGUAACAAGGUUUCCGUAGGUGAACCUGCGGAAGGAUCAUUACCGAGUGUUUGGGCGCCCCUUCUCGGGGUGCCCGUCCUCCCAUCCGUGUCUAUUUGUACCCUGUUGCUUCGGCGGGCCCGCCCACCGUGGCCGCCGGGGGGCUUCAUUGCCCCCGGGCCCGUGCCCGCCGGAGACCUCAACCAUGAACACUGUCUGAAGGUUGCAGUCUGAGUGAAGAUAUAACAAAUCGUUAAAACUUUCAACAACGGAUCUCUUGGUUCCG
rnacentral:misc_RNA from 1 species